rnacentral:rRNA from 1 species
ACCGGAUAGGACGAAAGUUUAAAGGUGCUUCGGCACCACUGAUGGAUGAGCCUGCGGCGCAUUAGCUAGUUGGUAGGGUAAAGGCCUACCAAGGCGACGAUGCGUAGCCGACCUGAGAGGGUGAACGGCCACACUGGGACUGAGACACGGCCCAGACUCCUACGGGAGGCAGCAGUAGGGAAUCUUCGGCAAUGGGCGAAAGCCUGACCGAGCAACGCCGCGUGAAUGAUGAAGGCCUUCGGGUUGUAAAAUUCUGUUAUAAGGGAAGAAUGGCUCUAGUAGGAAAUGGCUAGAGUGUGACGGUACCUUAUGAGAAAGCCACGGCUAACUACGUGCCAGCAGCCGCGGUAAUACGUAGGUGGCGAGCGUUAUCCGGAAUUAUUGGGCGUAAAGAGCGCGCAGGUGGUUGAUUAAGUCUGAUGUGAAAGCCCACGGCUUAACCGUGGAGGGUCAUUGGAAACUGGUCAACUUGAGUGCAGAAGAGGGAAGUGGAAUUCCAUGUGUAGCGGUGAAAUGCGUAGAGAUAUGGAGGAACACCAGUGGCGAAG